AGCUCCACUUCCAGGAAUUAAUCCUGAAAGACAAAUAUCCAGAAGGUGGACAAAGAAGAACAUGGCAGAAUUUAUUUAUAAUAGCAAAAAUCUGGAAACAAUCUAGAAGCCUAGCAGUAACAGCAAGGGAUCGCUCAGCAACAAAGGAGCCAGAAAAGGCAAGGUGUACACACUGUGUGCAGCAUGGGCGAGCCUGCAGGCAUGCAGUCUGUUUGGAGAGGCUGGGAGCAGAGUGAUUAAAAGAGCCAGGCCUGGUUCCAUUCCUGCCCCCUCUUCUAGCUGAGCAACUUCCGCCUCUUCCAGCCUCCCUCACAGGAAUCACAGAUCACGUGAGAUGACACCCGCGAAGGGCUUGAUGGGCAUCUGGCACAUGGUGAGGACUGCAAAAAUGUAGGUUAUUGUUUUUACUAUUAUCCCCAUUUUAUAGAUGAGGAAACUGAGGCUUGGAGAGGCUCUCUGCCUUUGUCAACGUGGAGAUGCUGGGAAGGAAGUGAGGCCCAUCUUACCUCAGAUGCCUGUCCUCUGUCGUCAGGAGUAUUCUCUUGUUCUUCCGGGCUUGGCCAAGCGGUGGUAAACCCCACAUGUGGUUCUGUGGUUGCCCACACAGUCCUAAAAAUAGCCAACAGGAACCCAGGGGCUCCCCCUUGGUGAGUGGCAGCAGGCCCAGUCCUCAGGCAGCCACCGACCUGCUCACUCCCCACAGGCGAGCAGGUCUUGUCUAGGAAGGGGCUGGGUGGUCUGGGUCCCAUGCAUGAUGAGCCAGAGGCUGUGCCAAGCUUGUAGCAAAUAUUAUUUUAUUUCAUUAUGUUUUCUUACAUCUAUGAUGUGGAGGCCAUGGCUCCACUGGACUCACGAGGAGACUGAGGCUCAGAGCAAUGAAGUGACCUGCUCAAAGUUAAGGAGCUUCAGGGAGGACCCAAUUUUUUCUGAUCCUAAGGUCACUAUCCUUAAUCCCUCUCCCUGUGGGGUCUUCCCUAUCUUGAGCCUGUGGACAGCUGUGCAGUGGCAAGAGAAAGGCCUUCAGAACUAUGCAGACCUGGCUUCCAGUCCCAGCCUUCCUGAUGAGCCCUGGUGGUCUUGCAUGCUUGCCCUCGGGACUCAGACACCAUAUUGUGAGGAAGCCCAAGCUACAUGCAGAGGCCACCAUAGUUGUUCUGGCCAACAGCCCAAGCUUCAGCUGCCAGACAUAUGAAUAAACCAACUCUUCAAAUGAUUUCAGUUUCCAGACUUCAAUGCCUCCCAGGUAAUGUCCAGAGGAGCAGAGAUGAACCAUCAUCUCUGAGCCCUGCCCAAAUGCAGACUUGAGAAC